UACGUAGGGACCAAGCGUUGUUCGGAUUUACUGGGCGUAAAGGGCGCGUAGGCGGCAAUUCAAGUCAGUUGUGAAAUCUCCGAGCUUAACUCGGAACGGUCAACUGAUACUGCUUUGCUAGAGUACAGAAGGGGCAAUCGGAAUUCUUGGUGUAGCGGUGAAAUGCGUAGAUAUCAAGAGGAACACCUGAGGUGAAGACGGGUUGCUGGGCUGAUACUGACGCUGAGGCGCGAAAGUCAGGGGAGCGAACGGG
rnacentral:rRNA from 1 species